UACGGCCACAUCACGUUGAAGCAUCGGUUCCUGUACGAUCAGCGAAGUUUAGCAACGUUGAGCCUGUUCAGUACCUAGAUAGAUAACCGCAUGUGAAUACCAGGUGCU
rnacentral:rRNA from 1 species